rnacentral:rRNA from 1 species
UGGGGAAUAUUGGACAAUGGGCGCAAGCCUGAUCCAGCAAUGCCGCGUGGGUGAAGACGGCCUGCGGGUUGUAAAGCCCUUUAGGCGGGGAGGAACGACCGGACGUGAAUACCGUCUGGAAGUGACGUUACCUGCGGAAUAAGCACCGGCUAACUCCGUGCCAGCAGCCGCGGUAAUACGGAGGGUGCGAGCGUUAAUCGGAAUUACUGGGCGUAAAGCGUGCGUAGGCGGAAGGGUCAGUCGGCCGUGAAAGCCCUGGGCUCAACCUGGGAACGGCGGUCGAGACGGCCCAUCUGGAGUGGGCUAGAGGAUCGUGGAAUUCCGGGUGUAGCGGUGAAAUGCGUAGAGAUCCGGAGGAACACCGAUGGCGAAGGCAGCGGUCUGGGGCCACACUGACGCUGAGGCACGAAAGCGUGGGGAGCAAACAGGAUUAGAUACCCUGGUAGUCCACGCGGUAAACGAUGAGCACUAGACGCUGGGGGGGUGACCUUUCGGUGUCGCAGCCAACGCGCUAAGUGCUCCGCCUG